rnacentral:rRNA from 1 species
AUUGAACGCUAGCGGGAUGCUUUACACAUGCAAGUCGAACGGCAGCGCGGACUUCGGUCUGGCGGCGAGUGGCGAACGGGUGAGUAAUGUAUCGGAACGUGCCCAGUAGCGGGGGAUAACUACGCGAAAGCGUAGCUAAUACCGCAUACGCCCUACGGGGGAAAGCAGGGGAUCGUAAGACCUUGCACUAUUGGAGCGGCCGAUAUCGGAUUAGCUAGUUGGUGAGGUAACGGCUCACCAAGGCGACGAUCCGUAGCUGGUUUGAGAGGACGACCAGCCACACUGGGACUGAGACACGGCCCAGACUCCUACGGGAGGCAGCAGUGGGGAAUUUUGGACAAUGGGGGCAACCCUGAUCCAGCCAUCCCGCGUGUGCGAUGGAGGCCUUCGGGUUGUAAAGCACUUUUGGCAGGAAAGAAACGUCGCGGGCUAAUACCCCGUGGAACUGACGGUACCUGCAGAAUAAGCACCGGCUAACUACGUG